rnacentral:rRNA from 1 species
CCUACGGGUGGCAGCAGUGGGGAAUAUUGGGCAAUGGGCGCAAGCCUGACCCAGCAACGCCGCGUGAAGGAAGAAGGCUUUCGGGUUGUAAACUUCUUUUUUCAGGGACGAAGAAAGUGACGGUACCUGAGGUAUAAGCCUCGGCUAACUACGUGCCAGCAGCAGCGCUAUGACGUCGGCGGCAAGCGUUAUCCGGAUUUACUGGGUGUAAAGGGUGUUUAGGCGGGAAGGCAAGUCAGAUGUGAAAACCAUGGGCUCAACCUGUGCCCUGCAUUUGAAACUGGUUUGCUUGAGUACGGGAGAGGCAGACGGAAUUCGUGGUGUAGCGGUGAAAUGCGUAGAUAUUAGGAAGAACACCAGUGGCGAAGGCAGUCUGCUGGACAGCAACUGACGCUGAGGCGCGAAAGCGUGGGGAGCAAACAGGAUUAGAUACCCGAGUAGUC